rnacentral:rRNA from 1 species
UUGACCUCGGAUCAGGUAGGGAUACCCGCUGAACUUAAGCAUAUCAAUAAGCGGAGGAAAAGAAACCAACAGGGAUUGCCUCAGUAACGGCGAGUGAAGCGGCAACAGCUCAAAUUUGAAAUCUGACCCCUUCGGGGCCCGAGUUGUAAUUUGUAGAGGGUGCUUCGGGCGUGGGCUUAGGUCUAAGUUCCUUGGAACAGGACGUCAUAGAGGGUGAGAAUCCCGUAUGCGACCGGCGAUCCAGCC